CAUUCGUUGCUGGUGGGCUGAGAAGCAGCAUAACAAAGUGGGGGCUGAGCAGGGCAUUAGCCCAGGGCUACCCCGGGUGCUCAGGUCUCCAGUUAGAGGAGCGAGGAAGAGGACCUCCACUUGCUCCUCAGGCCCUGAUGGAGUUUACGGGCUGGCACUUUGAAGACAUCGUCGUUUUGCUGUAAGACCUUCAUUAUGCAUUUCUACGGCUUGAUUAAAGGUUUCUUCUUCACACUGCGAUGUAUCAGCAUCGGAGCACAAGAGGCAUUCAUUAAAGGCUGGAGUGGCUGGCACUCUAGCAAAUGAACUACGAACCCCAAAUUCACCCAAUUUCGAUGGGGUUUCCUCUGAAACGUGCUGCAUUCAUCCGUUUUGGAUUUCCUCCCGUUGAAAGCGACGUCUAUGGGAUUUAAAGGUGACGUACAGACAAAAAAGCCUAAAUUAUAUAAAGAUGCACAGAGUUUUGAGGCUUGAUCCAGACUUUUUUUCACAACUUUAACUUGAAAUUCCACUGCCGAACUGUGCGGGAGCCUGGAGUCGGGUUUGUGGUUGUUUUGUACUAAUCCAGAGACCUGUGCAAAGACCCAUGAGAUGUUUCAUUCAAUCUUUUAGCGAGUCCCUUUUUUGCAAACCCCUUGCCCCAAAUUUGAACGGU